rnacentral:rRNA from 1 species
UACAGAGGUCCCAAGCGUUGUUCGGAUUCACUGGGCGUAAAGGGUGCGUAGGUGGUCGGGUAAGUCUGAUGUGAAAGCUCUGGGCUCAACCCAGAAAUGGCAUUGGAUACUAUCUGGCUAGAGGAAUGGAGGGGGGACUGGAAGUACUUGGUGUAGCAGUGAAAUGCGUAGAUAUCAAGUGGAACACCAGUGGCGAAGGCGAGUCCCUGGACAUUUCCUGACACUGAGGCACGAAAGCUAGGGGAGCAAACAGG